rnacentral:lncRNA from 1 species
AAAAUGUUUUAUUUUUAAUUUGCAAAGGAACAAGACCAUCAACCACCCGCUCAUCCUUUGGGGCAUCGCCUUCUCCUAAGGUUCCAGCAGAAAUCCGAAAGGGCUCAUAGAUGUCUUUCCUUGCUUAUGCUGUAGAAGUAGCAAUUUAUAAAGUGAUGUCAGCUGAAAAAGGGUGUUGCUUGAACAUAACUAAUAAUCUAAACAAGGUCAGACAGCUUCCGUAAUAGAGUUCACCCUACGUCUGGUUAACAUAGCAGCUGUGAUAAAUAUAUUGUAGCAGGUUAAUAGUGAACAUUGUUGAAAUGUAUAAAUGCUUGCAAAGCAUCUGUAGCUUUAUUUAGACUAAGAUAUGUGCCUAUUUUGUUAUAUGUUGGUACUGAAUAAUAAAGCACUUGUGAACACCUGC